rnacentral:rRNA from 1 species
GUAAGACCCCUUGAAGACGACGAGGUAGAUAGGCUGGGGGUGGAAGUGCAGCAAUGCAUGGAGCUGACCAGUACUAAUCGGUCGAGGGCUUAUCCA